GGGCUCAUAGUAUAGUUGGUUAUUGCGCCCGCUUCGCAUCGUGUUUAGUUGCGGGAGGUCCGGAGUUCGACUCUCCGUGUGUCCA